GGAGGGGUUGCCGAGUGGUUUAAGGCACCGGUCUUGAAAACCGGCGACGCGCAAGUGUCCGUGAGUUCGAAUCUCACCUCCUCCG
rnacentral:tRNA from 1 species